rnacentral:rRNA from 1 species
UUCCUACGGGACGCAGCAGUGAGGAAUAUUGGUCAAUGGCCGGGAGGCUGAACCAGCCAAGUCGCGUGAGGGAAGACGGCCCUACGGGUUGUAAACCUCUUUUGUCAGGGAGCAAGGUGCAGGUCGGGACCUGCUGUGAGAGUACCUGAAGAAAAAGCAUCGGCUAACUCCGUGCCAGCAGCCGCGGUAAUACGGAGGAUGCGAGCGUUAUCCGGAUUUAUUGGGUUUAAAGGGUGCGCAGGCGGUCUGUUAAGUCAGCGGUCAAAGCCCGGGGCUCAACCCCGGCCCGCCGUUGAAACUGGCAG